GUUGUCUCAGAUGCUGCAGGAAACCCUUUGGACUUCUCCAAGGGAAGAUACCUUGAUUUACACGAAGGCAUAAUCGUUACCAAUCAAAAGCUGAUGCCUGCUCUCCUCAAGGCUGUUAAAGAAUCUUUGAAUGAGAAAGCUUCAUCCUUGUGAUGAUCAAACCAAUAACAAUACGCUGCAGCUAUCUUAUUGUAGUUCCCAGAAUGGUACUUGCAGCUGCUCAUUUUCACCUGUUCUUCUCCUUCUACACAUUUCUGAUAUCACUUUUUAGCUCUUUGAUUGUCAUCUCAACUCAGCUUUGAUAAACAUUUUGUUGUUCUCUGGUUAUGUCA
rnacentral:misc_RNA from 1 species